rnacentral:lncRNA from 1 species
AGAAGGAAGGGGCUAUGCCUGGCUUAAAUGGUGCUGAGAUGCCAAGAUGGAGAUUUAAGAAUUUCCUCAAAUUUAAUGACAUUCAGAUAUUAGUGAUUUUAUCUAGAACUAUUUCAUGGAGCUCUGGUGGCAGAAACCAGACUGUGGUAGGUUCAAAUGAGAGGGAAAAACAAGCACAUGGAAUCAGCUGUAGUAAACAACCAUUGUUGAUAAAUAAACAUAUAAAAUAUUUAUUGUCAAAUAAAUAUGUAAAAUAAAUUUUCUUGGUAAAUUAAUAUAUAAAGUACUUCUUUAAAACUCUCUGGUAAUUGAUUAAAAUUAUUCAUUAUCAUUUACCUCUUAUUUUUGCCUAAGAAUUUUCCAGACUUCUGAAUUUAGGGGUAUGCUUCCAGAGAAAUUUGUAUUCCUGUAUUAAACUACUCUGAAUCUACUAUCCAUUAGCUUUAUUAAAUUGUUUUAGUUUUUCUUCAGGUUUUCCAUAGUAUUAUUUCUUUUAUUGCUUGUUUGUUUUGAGAUGGAGUCUUGCUCUGUUGCCCAGGCUGGAGUGCAGUGGCAUGAUCUCGGCUCACUGCAACCUCUGCCUCCUGGGUUCAAGCGAUUCUCCUGCCUCAGCCUCCUGAAUGGCGGGGACUACAGGCUCACACCACCAUGCCUGGCUACUUUUUUGUAUUUUUAUCAGAGACCGGGUUUCACCGUGUUAGCCAGGACAGUGAUCCACCCGCCUGGGCCUCCCAAAGUGCUGGGAUUACAGACGUGAGCCACUGCGCCUGGCCGUGUUAUUUCUUUUAAAUUUCAUCAUUUCAACCUUUGUCUCUCAAUAACUUUGGUUUAUCAAAUAGCUUAUGAUUUUUGUGAGGUUUAUCAUUUGUAAUGUGCUUGAUAUAUUACAUUUGCUAACAAUAAAUUAUAUAAUAUACAUUUGUACUAUGCAUUUGAUAUGUUAGAGGUAUGCUUGCUUUUUCAGUAGCCAAACAGAUAACAGCCAGUAUGUUGUUAUUGUAUUUUUGUUGUUGUUUUAACCUCAGUAGCACAUUUGGACCUUGGGUGUUAUUAUAUCUUUGUCUUUAUAAUAAACUCAUGCACUUGUUUC